UGGGGGAUAUUGCACAAUGGGCGAAAGCCUGAUGCAGCGACGCCGCGUGGGGGAUGAAGGCUUUCGGGUUGUAAACCUCUUUCGCUAUCGAACAAGGCCCGCUUAGGGUGGGUUGAGGGUAGGUGGAGAAGAAGCGCCGGCUAACUACGUGCCAGCAGCCGCGGUAAUACGUAGGGCGCGAGCGUUGUCCGGAAUUAUUGGGCGUAAAGGGCUUGUAGGCGGCUUGUUGCGCCUGCUGUGAAAACGCGGGGCUUAACUUCGCGCGUGCAGUGGGUACGGGCAGGCUUGAGUGUGGUAGGGGUGACUGGAAUUCCAGGUGUAGCGGUGGAAUGCGCAGAUAUCUGGAGGAACACCGAUGGCGAAGGCAGGUCACUGGGCCAUUACUGACGCUGAGGAGCGAAAGCAUUGGUAGCGAACAGG
rnacentral:rRNA from 1 species